rnacentral:RNase_P_RNA from 1 species
CGAGUUGGUUAGACAAUCGCUGGUUUAUUGAAGCCCUUAACUGUUUUUCGGAACGAUCUAGCGGGACAAGUAAACGAGAGGAAAGUCCGGGCUACAUAGGGCAGAGUGCCGGAUAACAUCCGGGAGGCGUGAGCCUACGACAAGUGCAACAGAGAGCAGACCGCCGAUGUGUGUAAACACAGGUAAGGGUGAAAGGGUGCGGUAAGAGCGCACCGCGCGAGUGGUAACAUUUCGUGGCAGGGUAAACUCCACUUGUAGCAAGACCAAAUAGGAACUCAAUGGGUGUGCCCGCUCAGAGUUCGGGUAGGUUGCUUGAGCGACGGAGCAAUUCGUCGCCUAGAGGAAUGAUUGUCCGUGACAGAACCCGGCUUAUCGACCGACUCAUCAA